ACAGGACUACAUGCAGUCAUUCCUCACUCAACAUGCUACAAACCACUUUGGACACAAAGAUUGCUUACAACUGCAGAGAGGUUCCUUAUUCCACAGUUGAAGGCUGCAUUUCUGAUCCAGAGAUCCCAUGCAGUGACUGCCUAUGAGAAUGGCAUCUGUUCCACAUGCACUGAAGACUAAUCUACAUAAUCUACAAUCUGUAAUUUAACUGAACUGCAAAUGGGAAUAAACCUAGUUUCUCUAGUAUACCGAUUAAUCCAAAUUGCAGUAGCUAAACUUUUUCACUAAUCAUUGGUGUCAGGGUUAUGCUGAAAUCGGUGCUUUAAUACCCAUCAGCCCCUGCAUGUCACAUGGCCUUGUCACAUGUCUCACUGAACACUCACACCUGUUCUGUGUUACCCCUAAUCAGCACAGUCAUCAAGUACUGUCUUGGAGGAAUGAUUCUGCAUAGUUCUUUAUCUUCAAUUUAAUCUUAAAUAGAGGUGGUGAAAUUAAAUUUAUACUUGCUUGUGAUUUUAAAUCUACUAAAGAUCCAAUUAAACUGUCCAACUUUCAAAAGCAAGCUUUAGAUGCAUGGAAAUUAGCCUACAAACAAUUGUUCUCCUUACUCAUUUGUUAAAUGGAACAAUCAACAUAUAUUAUUGAUUUAACAAAGGAUUUAUUUUUUUAUAGACCUAUUAAAUCCUUCGGGUGAUCUUUAUAGUUACAUUGAAUUCAUUAAUAUCUUUGGGAUAAAUGUAUGUCAGAAAGAAUAUUUAAAACUUGUUUGCUGUAUUUCCCCAAAAUGACUUAAUCUUAUUAAAAAUGAAAUGAUAUAUAAACCUGUAAUUGGUUCUCUUCCGGGUCUUACUGUUGAGGGAAAUAGAUUAGGGAUAAAUAAUUUAAUAUCCAUUGGCUUGGAGGAAUUUUAGCCCAUUACAGAACAGUACAGAACAGCUUCAACUCUGGGAUGUUGGUGGGUUUCCUCACAUGAACUGCUUGCUUCAGGUCCUUCCACAAAAUUUUUAUUUUGACUUUCCAUUCCAAAACGUUACCUUUAUUCUUCUUUAACCAUUCUUGUUUAAUCAAAUUAGUCGACUGUAAAUAACUGUUAAAACAAACUGUAUAAUACAAAAUUCAAUUAUUGUGAUGUGGUCACAGGUGUGUGAGGAUUUUACAAUAGCUUUACACAAGGCUCAGCCAAUCAGAUUUUACAGCCCAUGUCCUUUAACAUCCUGUUUUCUUUUUCCUUUCAAUGAAUUCACAUUACCAUCGGGCAAAUUUUAUUUCUGUUUAGUCUGACCACUGAUUCUGACGCUAAAAGAAGUGGUGCACUUGUUAAGGGCACAGGGACAGGGGGACCCAAAAGCAGAACACACACACAGGGAUCCAAGAUGAAACGGGUUUUAUUAACGAGCGGAAGGGGGUGAGAGUGUGAGGGAAAGGUGAGUUGAAUGGAGUUGUCAACAAAUAUCAAAAAGCUAAAAGGUGUGCAUCAUACCUGACACCUACAUGAACACUGUACAGUUGCUUUUCUGACUGUAUUUUCUUCAAAUGCUAUUGAGCUUUGCCAUGUUCUAAAUUAUGGUAUAUUUUAAAAAUCACAAUGCUUAGAUAUGAUUGACAGUUUAUUUUAAUAAACAUAAAAAAUACUAAAAGGUGUGCAUCAUAGCUGACAUCUUCAUGAACACUUUACAGUUGCUUUUGUGACUUCAAAUGCUAUUAAAGUUAGAAACGUGUAUA